rnacentral:ribozyme from 1 species
AGUCGUCACAGCGACUAUAAAUAGGGCUUUAGGCUGUGAGCGUUGAUCCCCCGGUUACAAGGGGAUCAGGUGGUC